GCGGGCGUAGUUCAGUGGCAGAACGGCACUCUUCCUGAGUGAUGACGUUGGUUCGAUUCCGGCCGCCCGCUCCA
rnacentral:tRNA from 1 species